UCUCCCAACCCUCGUACCAGAGU
rnacentral:miRNA from 1 species